GAUGAACGUUGGCGGUGUGCCUAAUACAUGCAAGUCGAACGGAGUUAGUAGCAAUACUGGCUCAGUGGCGAACGGGUGAGUAACGCGUUGGUGAUCUGCCUUGAAGUGUGGAAUAACGUUUCGAAAGGAACGCUAAUACCGCAUGUGCUCUCGAUUUUCAGAAAGUUGAGAGUAAAGGAUUUAUUCGCUUCAAGAGGAGCCUGCGUCCCAUCAGCUGGUUGGUAGGGUAACGGCCUACCAAGGCUAUGACGGGUAGGGGACCUGAGAGGGUGGCCCCCCACAAUGGAACUGAAACACGGUCCAUACACCUACGGGUGGCAGCAGUAGGGAAUAUUAGAAAGGGACGAAAGUCUGAUCUAGCAACGCCGCGUGUGCGAAGAAGGCCUUCGGGUCGUAAAGCACUUUUUGGAAGGAAUAGGAAGGAAUGUACUUCCAGAAUAAGUCUCGGCUAACUACGUGCCAGCCGCCGCCGUAAGAC
rnacentral:rRNA from 1 species